rnacentral:rRNA from 1 species
GAUGAACGCUGGCGGCGUGCCUAAUACAUGCAAGUCGAGCGAACAGACGAGGAGCUUGCUCCUCUGACGUUAGCGGCGGACGGGUGAGUAACACGUGGAUAACCUACCGAUAAGACUGGGAUAACUUCGGGAAACCGAAGCUAAUACCGGAUAAGAUAUUGAACCGCAUGGUUCAAUAGUGAAAAACGGUUUUGCUGUCACUUAGAGAUGGAUCCGCGCCGCAUUAGCUAGUUGGUAAGGUAACGGCUUACCAAGGCGACGAUGCGUAGCCGACCUGAGAGGGUGAUCGGCCACACUGGAACUGAGACACGGUCCAGACUCCUACGGGAGGCAGCAGUAGGGAAUCUUCCGCAAUGGGCGAAAGCCUGACGGAGCAACGCCGCGUGAGUGAUGAAGGUCUUCGGAUCGUAAAACUCUGUUAUUAGGGAAGAACAAAUGUGUAAGUAACUAUGCACGUCUUGACGGUACCUAAUCAGAAAGCCACGGCUAACUACGUG